AGCGAACGCUGGCGGCAGGCCUAACACAUGCAAGUCGAACGAAGUCUUCGGACUUAGUGGCGGACGGGUGAGUAACACGUGGGAACGUGCCUUUAGGUUGGGAAUAACUCAGGGAAACUUGUUCUAAUACCGAAUGUGCCCUUCGGGGGAAAGAGUUAUCGCCUUUAGAGCGGCCCGCGUCUGAUUAGCUAGUUGGUGGGGUAAAGGCUCACCAAGGCGACGAUCAGUAGCUGGUCUGAGAGGAUGAUCAGCCACAUUGGGACUGAGACACGGCCCAAACUCCUACGGGAGGCAGCAGUGGGGAAUCUUGCGCAAUGGGCGAAAGCCUGACGCAGCCAUGCCGCGUGAAUGAUGAAGGUCUUAGGAUUGUAAAAUUCUUUCACCGGGGACGAUAAUGACGGUACCCGGACAAGAAGCCCCGGCUAACUUCGUGCCAGCAGCCGCAGUAAUAC
rnacentral:rRNA from 1 species